GACUCCGUGGCGCAAUGGUAGCGCUUCUGACUCCAGAUCAGAAGGUUGCGUGUUCAAAUCACGUCGGGGUCA
rfam:Nematostella vectensis strain CH2 x CH6 NEMVEscaffold_564_Cont30122, whole genome shotgun sequence.